rnacentral:rRNA from 1 species
GUGUCAGCAGCCGCGGUAAUACGUAGGGGGCGAGCGUUAUCCGGAAUUAUUGGGCGUAAAGCGCGCGCAGGCGGUCGAUUAAGUCAGGUGUGAAAGGCUGCGGCUCAACCGCAGAGCGGCACCUGAAACUGGUCGACUUGAGUGCAGGAGAGGGGAGUGGAAUUCCCGGUGUAGCGGUGGAAUGCGUAGAGAUCGGGAGGAACACCAGUGGCGAAGGCGGCUCUCUGGCCUGUAACUGACGCUGAGGCGCGAAAGCGUGGGGAGCAAACAGGAUUAGAUACCCCCGUAGUCC